rnacentral:rRNA from 1 species
AGUUGCAACGGGUAGAGCCGGGCGACUCUGGCGGGACGUGCCAUCGACAAGAUGGAGGAAGGUGGGGAGUGACGUCAAGUCAUCAUGGCCCUUAUGUCCAGGGCGACACACGUGCUACAAUGGCCGGCACAGCGGGAAGCGAGGCAGUGAUGCCAAGCGGAUCCCUUAAAGCCGGUCUCAGUUCGGAUUGAAGUCUGCAACUCGACUUCAUGAAGCUGGAAUCGCUAGUAAUCGCAGAUCAGCCAAGCUGCGGUGAAUACGUUCCCGGGCCUU